rnacentral:lncRNA from 1 species
AUGGCCUCCAGGGUCCCUUCCUGGUCUAAAUCGAUGAGGGCCAAAAGAAGGAAAAACAAGAGUUUCUUUCCCAUAUUUGGUUUCAGAAUCGAAGAGCGGCGGCCUCCAACUUACGGAAGAUACCCUCCAAGACUAAGUUUUCCCAUGGAAGCAGUAGAGACUUUACUCCCUUCCCUGAGAGGCCUUUUCUUGGGAGGGGUUCGGGACCCUUCAACUUGGGCGGGGGGGGGGGAAGUCAUGGACCCCUGGGUCAGCUCGGCGGCUUCUUCUGGGCAAAUCGCUCAACGGCCCCUUGCCUCAGUUUCCCCACCUGUCAAAGGAGGCCCCAGAGUCUCCUCGUACCCCUCGAUGAAUCCCUCCUGGGCAGCGGACCGGACGCCCCCACAUCUAACCACAGCAGCGAAGCCCCUCCUCACUGGCCCCUGGGAAGGCGACCCCGCCCCACGCACCAGGGGGAGGCGAGCACCAGGGGAGGGAGCGCAGGGGGCAAACCUAAAGCGCCGCAUAAAUGCGGGCCGGUGCUGCCAGCUGUUUGUCAGGGCAUACAGGAAGUUCCAACUGAAAGGCGGCUGUCAAUCCACACCUGGAGAAGGGGAGACCCCCGCCCCGUCCCUCCCCUCGGCCUGGGGAGGGGGGCAGGAUUUCCACUCGGAAGAAUGGAAGGCGUUGCCGGCUUUCCCGGCCCGGAAGGGGAAGGGGAGCUCUCCGGCUGGCUCUGUGUUCAAGGCUUCGCCGCCGCCGCCGCCGCCGCCGCCUCCGAGCAGCCCUCGGCCCUGGCCCGUCAGCGGGCCACAGGGCAGGUGGUCCCGGUCCGCCCGGCCGCCCCCUGCCUGGCCCCCGCUCACCGCCUCGUCGGCACUUUCGGUUUCCCCGACGUGCGGAACGAACCGAGAACACCCCGGGUCAGCGGGGUCACGGCGGGCUUCCGGCCUCCGCGGGGCCGCGCCGGCUCGGGUCUGGCCUCGGGCUCCCCGCACCCAUGCCGCCCGGGCCCGUCCCCUGGCCUCCGGCCGCCAGGCCCCUGCCCGCGGGGUCUGA